GCGUUGGUGGCACAGCGGUAGAGUGCUCGCCCCUCACGCAGGUGGUCCGGGGUUCGAGCCCCGGCCUAAGCA
rnacentral:tRNA from 1 species